rnacentral:rRNA from 1 species
AGUCAUAUGCUUGUCUCAAAGACUAAGCCAUGCAUGUCUAAGUAUAAGUGUUAUACAGCGAAACUGCGAAUGGCUCAUUAAAACAGUUAUAGUUUAUUUGAUAAUCGAAUUUACAUGGAUAACCGUGGUAAUUCUAGAGCUAAUACAUGCUGGUAGGCCCGACUUUUGCGGAAGGGCGGUAUUUAUUAGAUAACAAGCCAAUAUUCCUCUGGUCUAUUGUGGUGACUCAUAAUAACUGAUCGAAUCGCAAGGCCUUUGGCCGCGAUAAGUCAUUCAAGUUUCUGCCCCAUCAGCUUUCGAUGGUAGUGUAUUGGACUACCAUGGCGUUUACGGGUAACGGAGGAUUAGGGUUCGAUUCCGGAGAGGGAGCCUGAGAAACGGCUACCACGUCUAAGGAAGGCAGCAGGCGCGUAAAUUACCCAAUCCUGACUCAGGGAGGUAGUGACAAGAAAUAACGGACCGAGGCCUUCGGGCUUCGGGAUUGGAAUGAGCCGAAUUUACACCCCUUAGCGAAGAUCGAU